GAUCAGUGUUGCUGCGGCUUCAAGGAGAGAAAGGAAAGCUAGGAAAAAGGGAGCGCUUAUAAGCGUAGUGCACCCACAACAGACACGCCUUUCAGUUCACUGGUCGAUCGAUCGCUCAGUACCCCAUCCACCAGCAAUUACGGUGUCACUGUGCGAUCAAAUAUCCUACAACAUGAAGAUCUGAGCUCAGUUCCCAGCAAACACCUGCUUAAGAUGGUGCUUGCCCCCAACUCUGAUGACCUGAGUUUGAUCUUUGGAACCCAUAUGAUGGAGAGAUAAAACCAACUCUUGCAGGUUGUA